rnacentral:lncRNA from 1 species
AUAGCCACGGUAACGGCGGGGUGGAAAGCUAAGGCCUUUGAAGACCUGGGACCCCGUAGUUUCGGGAGAGGGUGAGGGGUGAAUGGUGCUGAGGUGCGAGGAGAGGGAAGGACAGUAAAGAGCAGGUGGGCAGGAGGGUCUCCGACUCCAGAGACCUGAGCUUUUGGGGCGCGGGUGGGAGCGCGGGGGAACCCUCAAGACGGCUUUCUUUUGGCGACUGAGGGUUUUUCUGCCACAGGAAGCUGGGCCGGGCUGCUGUGCCUGGGAGGAGGGAAGGAGGAAUGAGAAAGCGGUGACGGUCCCUGCCCCCCCUCGCCAGGUGACUGUCCCACCCAUUUAGUUGAAUGUAGCGGCCAGAGAGGCACUCGCGGCAGCCCGUACGGGUGGGACCUCUCGGUGUCCUUCGGGAAACAGGAGGAGCAAGUUCGACUCCAGCGAGGGAAAACGGAGGUUUUUGGCUUUCAUCGCUUUUUCUACAUGUUUUUAGCCUCACCAGAAGUCUUUCAUCUCGG